AUCAAAGUAUCUUUAAGAAUUUUUUGAUUUACUUCUCUACUUACAUCUGAAUUCUUUGAACCUUUCAAUAAUUUUAGAUUUGUAUCUCAUAUGCUUACCCAUACCAUGAUUGAUCAUCGAUAAAGAUAACAAAGUAGAGACAACUCCUUGGUUAGCACAUCAUAUGGGCUACACACAUCAAAUGUGUACAAGGAUAAAUAUCUCAGUGGUCCUUUUCUCUUGUCCCACAACAGUAGUUCGGUCAUAUUUUCUCAAAAAGAUGAUAUACAAACUAGAUUUAACUCAACAGUCAAUGAGCCUAAAAGCCCAUAAUUCUCUAG
rnacentral:lncRNA from 1 species